rnacentral:misc_RNA from 1 species
AAGUCGUAACAAGGUUUCCGUAGGUGAACCUGCGGAAGGAUCAUUAAAGUGUUUCGGAGCCUGGCUCGGGCAUCUCAACUCGAGGUGUCGGUGUCAGCGCCCCCACACGUGUUUACUCAACUUGGUUGCCUUGGUGAGCCUGCCCUUGUGGCUGCUGGGGAUGCCUCACGGUGUCCCGGGCUCGUGCUCACCAAUGGAACAUUUGAACUCUUAUGUGAAAAUAGUCAGUCUGAGCAUUAUGCAAAUUAAAUAAAACUUUCAACAACGGAUCUCUUGGUUCCG